AGUCAGCUUUUAGAAGAAAAAAAUAGUAGCAGAAGGCUAGAAGUUAGUGAUUGCAAGAGAAAAAACGAUGGAGUUUGGUGGGAUGUUUCAGUAAACUUAGGCCCAAUAUUCUUCUUGGGAUUGGCAGUAAAAAGGACCUCAAAUCCCCUAUAAAUACUACCCUUUCUCACCCUAAACCUACACACUACACCUCCUUUCAAUCUCUCUCUUUUAUCUCUAUAUUUGACUUCUCUUUCUCCCUUAGCCCUCUUGACCUUUCUCUUUAGAAAACUUUCUAGGGUUUGUUCAUUGGAGGGCUUUGAAGCUAUUAGAAUCUAUUUUUAGGUGUGUUUGUAUGUAGCCCUUUCAUGGAGAGCUUUGAAGCUUCUCAAUAUAUUUUUGGUGUGGUUGUACGUGACCCUCUUUGUAUUCUUCCACAGCUUUCUUGAACUGCACCUAUUAGAUUAAUGUUGAUGUUGUUGUGCGAUAUGCCAUGACCAUAUGACAUUGUAUUCAUUUUUGCUGCGGUUCAAUAAAGCUGUGGGAAGAUACAAACAGGAUCAAAGAAAGUUGCUAUGUCUUCGUCGGACUCGGUAUCAAUGAUCGGUGUAUGAGUUCUUUUAUCAUCUAAACUUUCUUGAAUUUUUUGUUUGAUGAAUGAUCUCUUGGAUCCCAAUUGAGUUUAGGGUUUUUUAAUAUUCUUUUUACUAAUUAAUGCCUCCAAAUAUUCUUAUGAAUCUUUCAAUCUCUUGUUUCUCGCAAGUUUCAUGCUUUGAAGGAGAACAAGAAGGGAUAUAUGGCUACUUCAAAUUAAAGGGCUUUCCGUUCUUUAACCAGUCAUCAUUUUUACUUAUCUAUUCAUGAUUUAACAAGUGCAUUAUUUUAUUAUUCCCAGAGAGCUAAUACUUGUAGAACAUCACUACAGAAUUUUCUCUCAUGUUAAUUUACAGAGUAUUUUGGAUGCAUAGCUUCCUGCCAGCAGUGUCCUUCCUUUUGCACUUGCAUCAAAAAGAGACCACACAAACAAAGAUUUAUCGGCCAUGAACAGUUGCUCUUGGAGUGGCCAAAUAAAGUUUAACCCAUCUUAAUAUUUCAGAGUCGGGAUUGACAAUUACAACUUGACCCGUGAGCAUGAAGCGCACAAAGAGAUUAGGGUUUUUUCCCUCUUCAUUUUCUUUUCCAAACUUCGAUGGGAGGGCAACUAAUAAAAUGGCAAGGAAAAGUAUGAUCCAUAGGGGACUAAAGAGAACAAAAUAUUGCCCUGUCCUUUUAGGGCUGACACACAUGUUUUCAAUCAGAUCAUAGUAUGUUCAUGCCCUUCUCCUUCGGAUAGUAGAAACAAUAUAUCUUUCUUCUAUGUACAAAUGAAUCUUGCAUGAACACAAUAAUAGAUGGUUCGACUUCAAUGAGCCA